GAUGAACGCUGGCGGCGUGCCUAAUACAUGCAAGUAGAACGCUGAAGCUUGGUGCUUGCACCGAGCGGAUGAGUUGCGAACGGGUGAGUAACGCGUAGGUAACCUGCCUGGUAGCGGGGGAUAACUAUUGGAAACGAUAGCUAAUACCGCAUAACAGUAGAUAUUGCAUGAUAUCUGCUUGAAAGGGGCAAUUGCUCCACUACCAGAUGGACCUGCGUUGUAUUAGCUAGUUGGUGAGGUAACGGCUCACCAAGGCGACGAUACAUAGCCGACCUGAGAGGGUGAUCGGCCACACUGGGACUGAGACACGGCCCAGACUCCUACGGGAGGCAGCAGUAGGGAAUCUUCGGCAAUGGACGGAAGUCUGACCGAGCAACGCCGCGUGAGUGAAGAAGGUUUUCGGAUCGUAAAGCUCUGUUGUAAGAGAAGAACGAGUGUGAGAGUGGAAAGUUCACA
rnacentral:rRNA from 1 species